AUUAUAUACACAUGUGUGUAUAUGUGUGUAUUAUACACACAGACACAACACAACAACACACAUCCUGUUGGUUCUGUAACUCUGAAGAAAUCUAACACAAUACUGUAGGUAUUCAAAUUUUCAUUAUCAUAAUUACUUUAUUUUAUCUUUAUCUUUCUAGCAGUGAAUAUCACAGAUUAUUGACUUCAUUUGGAACAUAAAUAAGUUAUUCCAAGUAUUCUAAUAUCAAUAAAAUAUUAUAUGAAAUAUUUACAUACUUAAGCACUGAAUCUUGACAAAAGUAAAUGACUUUUUUUAGGUUUGAUCUUCGCAGUGGCCUGUGGCUAAGACUGAUAUUAAAGGAAGAAUUAAAAUCCUGAAUCAAUCAUGAACUUUAAAGUUAAGAUGAAUUCAAGGAUAUCAAACUUGACUGCAUAAGAGAGUAUCAUGUUUGGAGAGAAGAAAUAAUUUUAUUGCGAGACACAAAGUGGUGUCUGUCACUUAAAUCCUUCACCAAUCUACCUCCUGUACUCGUGGAAAAAAAGGAAUCAGGAAGAGAGCAGCAGAAACCCAGGGGUUACCUGAGGAUAAUUUAG
rnacentral:lncRNA from 1 species